UCCCUGGUAGCUCAGAUAGUAGAGAACCUGCCUGCAAUGCAGGAGGCCCUGGUUCAAUCCUAGGGAA
rnacentral:tRNA from 1 species